rnacentral:rRNA from 1 species
GAUGAACGCUGGCGGCGUGCUUAACACAUGCAAGUCGAACGGAAAGGCCAGUGCUUGCCCUGGUGCUCGAGUGGCGAACGGGUGAGUAACACGUGGGUGAUCUGCCCUGCACUUUGGGAUAAGCCUGGGAAACUGGGUCUAAUACCAGAUAGGACCAUGCUUUGGAUGGUGUGGUGGAAAGUUUUUUCGGUGUGGGAUGAGCUUGCGGCCUAUCAGCUUGUUGGUGGGGUAAUGGCCUACCAAGGCGUCGACGGGUAGCCGGCCUGAGAGGGUGUACGGCUACAUUGGGACUGAGAUACGGCCCAGACUCCUACGGGAGGCAGCAGUGGGGAAUAUUGCACAAUGGGCGCAAGCCUGAUGCAGCGACGCCGCGUGGGGGAUGACGGCCUUCGGGUUGUAAACUCCUUUCGCAACUGACGAAGCUUUUUGUGACGGUAGGUUGAGAAGAAGCACCGGCUAACUACGUG